rnacentral:tRNA from 1 species
UGUUCUAUCGCCGAACUGGUAAAGGCAUUGCCGAUCACAGGCGAGGUUGCGGGUUCGAGUCCCGCUGUAACGG